rnacentral:pre_miRNA from 1 species
UUUCAUGUUGAUUGCCAUUAUAAGCUAUUGGAAAUAAGGGUGCAUUGCAUAGGCAGCAGUAACAAAUCUGCGUAUACUAGUUUGAAGAAAGAUUUCGAGGGGAGAAAAAAUUACUGACAAUUUACGUAUGAGGGGGACAUUGAAGGAUUUCAAGGGUUUCAAAUUUUUAAUGUCCCACUCAUCUGUAAAUCGUCGAUAAUUCUUUCUUCUCUUGAAAUCCUUUUUCAAACUAGUAUACGCAGAUUUAUUACCGCUGCCUAUGCAAUGCACCCCUAUUCCCGGUGGUUUAUAAUGACAAUCAACAUGAAACCCUUCACAUUU